CAAGACCAAAGUGGGGGACCUUCGGGCCUCAUGCCAUCAGAUGUGCCCAGAUGGGAUUAGCUAGUAGGUGGGGUAACGGCUCACCUAGGCGACGAUCCCUAGCUGGUCUGAGAGGAUGACCAGCCACACUGGAACUGAGACACGGUCCAGACUCCUACGGGAGGCAGCAGUGGGGAAUAUUGCACAAUGGGCGCAAGCCUGAUGCAGCCAUGCCGCGUGUGUGAAGAAGGCCUUCGGGUUGUAAAGCACUUUCAGCGGGGAGUAAGGCGGUGAGGUUAAUAACCUCAUCGAUUGACGUUUCCC
rnacentral:rRNA from 1 species